rnacentral:rRNA from 1 species
AUUGAACGCUGGCGGCAUGCUUUACACAUGCAAGUCGAACGGCAGCGCGGGCUUCGGCCUGGCGGCGCGUGGCGAACGGGCGAGUAAUACACCGGAACGUGCCCAGUAGAGGGGGAUAGCACGGCGAAAGCCGGACUAAUACCGCAUACGACCUGAGGGUGAAAGCGGGGGAUCUUCGGUCCUCGCGCUUUUUGCGCGCCCGUUGUGAGAUUAGCUAGUUGGUGGGGUAAAGGCCUACCAAGGCGACGAUCUGUAGCUGAUCUGAGAGGACGACCGGCCACACUGGAACUGAGACACGGCCCAGACUCCUACGGGAGGCAGCAGUAGGGAAUUUUGGACAAUGGGCGAAAGCCUGAUCCAGCAAUGCCGCGUGUGUGAUGAAGGCCUUCGGGUUGUAAAGCACUUUUGGCAGGAACGAAAAAGAGUGUACCAAUCCAUCGAUUCGAUGACGGUACCCGCAGAAUAAGCCCCGGCUAACUACGUG